ACCGUAAAUAUCGCGAGAUUGUUCGAGGGAAUAAGUUCAUGUUCGUAUUCCUGAACAUGGCGACGUCUAAUUUGCUAAAGAACAAAGGCUCCCUCCAGUUCGAGGACAAGUGGGAUUUGAUGCGUCCCAUCGUUCUGAAGCUGCUCCGUCAGGAGUCAGUCACCAAGCAGCAGUGGUUUGACCUCUUCUCAGACGUCCAUGCAGUAUGCCUAUGGGAUGACAAGGGACCGGCCAAGAUCCACCAGGCCCUGAAGGCGGACAUCUUAGACUUCAUCAAGCAAGCACAAGUGCGGGUGUUGAGUCACCAGGAUGACACGGCACUGCUGAAGGCCUACAUCGUGGAGUGGAGGAAGUUCUUCACACAGUGCGACAUCCUGCCCAAACCCUUCUGCCAGCUGGAGAUCACGCUCAUGGGCAAGCAGGGCAGCAACAAGAAGUCUAACGUAGAGGACAGCAUCGUACGGAAGCUCAUGCUGGACACGUGGAAUGAGUCCAUCUUCUCCAACAUCAAGAACAGGCUGCAGGACAGUGCCAUGAAGCUGGUGCACGCCGAGCGCCUGGGGGAGGCCUUCGACUCUCAGCUGGUCAUCGGCGUCAGGGAGUCCUACGUGAACCUGUGCUCAAACCCAGACAAUAAGUUGCAGAUCUACAGGGAUAACUUUGAGAAGGCUUACAUGGACUCCACUGAGAGAUUCUACAGAACACAGGCCCCCUCCUACCUGCAGCAGAACGGAGUACAGAACUACAUGAAAUACGCAGACACUAAGUUGAGAGAGGAGGAGAAACGGGCGUUGCGCUAUUUGGAGACGAGACGUGAAUGUAACUCUGUACAAGCACUGAUGGAGUGUUGCGUGAACGCCCUGGUGACGUCCUUCAAGGAGACCAUCUUGGCCGAGUGUCCAGGCAUGAUUAGGCGAAACGAGACAGAGAGUGAGUACGGCCGGAGCGCUCCCGGCACCAAAGGCUCGGCCAGCUCAGAGCUCCAUCUCAUGUUCUCUCUGAUGGACAAGGUGCCUAGUGGCAUCGAGCCCAUGCUGAAGGACUUAGAGGAACACAUCAUGUCUGCUGGGCUGGCCGACAUGGUGGCCUCCGCCGAGACCAUCACCUCGGACUCUGAGAAGUACGUGGAGCAGCUCCUCACCCUGUUCAACCGCUUCAGUAAGCUGGUUAAAGAUGCCUUUCAGGACGACCCUCGCUUCCUCACAGCCCGAGACAAGGCUUACAAAGCAGUUGUGAAUGACGCUACUAUUUUUAAAUUGGAACUUCCGCUGAAGCAGAAAGGAGUGGGGCUGAAGACUCAGCCAGAGUCCAAGUGUCCAGAGUUGCUGGCCAACUACUGUGAUAUGCUGCUGAGGAAAACCCCGCUGAGCAAGAAACUUGCAUCUGAGGAGAUCGAGGCCAAGCUCAAGGAAGUGUUGCUGGUGUUGAAGUACGUGCAGAACAAAGACGUGUUCAUGCGCUACCACAAAGCCCAUCUGACCCGACGCCUUAUCCUGGACAUCUCCGCUGACAGCGAAAUCGAGGAGAACAUGGUGGAGUGGCUCCGGGAGGUAGGCAUGCCCGCUGACUACGUGAAUAAGCUGGCUCGGAUGUUCCAGGACAUCAAGGUGUCCGAGGACCUCAACCAGAACUUCAAAGAGUGUCACAAACACAACAAGCUGGCCCUAUCAGCGGACUCUGUCAACAUCAAGAUCCUGAAUGCGGGGGCGUGGUCGCGGAGCUCCGAGAAGGUGUUUGUGUCACUGCCCACCGAGCUGGAGGACCUGAUCCCCGAGGUAGAGGACUUUUACAAGAAGAACCACAGUGGCAGGAAACUGCACUGGCAUCACCUCAUGUCCAAUGGCAUUAUCACAUUUAAGAAUGAGGUGGGCCAGUACGACCUGGAGGUGACCACAUUCCAACUGGCUGUGCUGUUUGCCUGGAACCAGAGGCCUCGGGAGAGGAUCAGCUUUGAAAACCUUAAGCUGGCCACGGAGCUGCCUGAUGCCGAGCUCCGACGCACCCUCUGGGUAAUGCACGGUGUCAAAGGGUAGAUGGAUGUCAAAGGGUUAUCUAUCUCCCUGGUAGCGUUCCCCAAGCUAAAGCGGCAGGUGUUGUCCUACGACCCAGUGGUGGGUUCGCCCAAAGACUUUGCAGAGGGCACCCUCUUCUAUGUCAAUCAGGAGUUUUCACUAAUAAAAAACUCCAAGGUCCAAAAAAGGGGGAAGAUGAACCUAAUUGGCCGGCUUCAGCUCACCACAGAGCGAAUGAGGGAGGAGGAGAACGAGGGAAUCGUCCAGCUCAGGAUAUUGAGAACACAGGAGGCCAUCAUCCAAAUCAUGAAGAUGCGCAAGCGGAUCACCAACGCCCAGCUGCAGACAGAGCUGGUCGAGAUCCUCAAAAACAUGUUCCUACCUCAAAAGAAGAUGAUCAAGGAGCAGAUGGAGUGGCUCAUUGAGCACAAGUACAUCAAGCGGGACGAGACGGAUCUCAACACCUUCAUCUACAUGGCAUAACGGUGGUUCUUCAGGCCUGAUGGACAAUAAAAUAUUUCCAGGCCUGACUGUCUUAGAGAAAAAUAACAUCUUUGUAUCGUGGGGGUUCAACCCUGAUGGACAAUAACAAUAUUUUCAUGUUGACCUUUGAUAAUUUGUUUAUCUAUUCAUGUGGGGAAAUAAAGACUUGACUUAGGACAGAGUUACAGAAAUGUAUAAAAGGAGGAGUUUGUGUGGGGAAAAUGAAAAGGUAAAAAAGAAAUGAGUUUGAGCUUCUCAGCAGGAGUCCACACCCACCGAGUGUCAGUCAUCGUUUUUGUCUAAGAGGCAUUUCCUUGUCUGUAGACGGGAUGUGGAUGGUGGUUGUGAAGGUUUGUCUCUGUUAAUGUGGCGUUCGCCUUACUGUCAACCAACCACCACACAGACUGCACCACCUCCCCGACACCAUCCAUAGACACCCCACCACUAUUGGAGUGGCGAUGGUUGUUAGGUCUCUCUAAUGACAUGGAAGGAAGAACGGUAGGAGGUCUGUUUUCCUCUAUCUACAGUCCCAAGUUUUGUGCCUGACCAACACUAGUCGCCGGACCUCUUCAACAGAACAAGCUGUGUCCUCUGGCAACUGUCUGAGCCAAGCUGUCGGCCAUGUUUUUGUUUGUGGUGAAGAACAAAGAAUGAAUGCCGCAUUCACGUGCUAGUCGGAACUAGGAAACCCUGAAUCAUUCGACUAACUGUAGUUAUACAUGUGCUGCGUUCAACAAGUCAAUUUCAGAGUUUCUUAGUUCCGACUAGCAUGUGAACACUGCAUUAAAACGUGACGUCGUUCCUGGACUUUCCCGGACCUAGACUAACAUUAGUCCCAGAUUUUUUUUAAAUAUUCUCAAUGGAGAAUCUUCAUUGAAAGUGCACUUUAUUCCAGAACUAGGUUUAAUCUGGGGUGGGGAAACUGGCUCCACAGUAUAUAUUGUAAUUCAGAAAUGUUCACAAGAGAGACUGACACACAUUUUCUGUUUUGACUGAUUUUAAAGUGCAGACUGUUUGCUUUAAUUUGAGGGUAUGUUCAUCCAUAUUGGGUGAACCAUUUAGAAAAUACAUUAAAGUAGUCAACAGUAUUUGGUCCCAUAUUUUUAGCACACUGUGACUACAAAUUGUUGGAUGCAAUUGCAGUUUGUUUUCUUUGUGUUUUUGAUUAUAUUGUGCCCAAUAGAAAGGGCACAAUACCAUGCAUUGUCAUUUUGGAGUCACUUUUUUUGUGAAUGUUUCCAAACACUUAUACAUUUAACGUGGAUGCAGAUAAUAAUGAAUGAAUCGUAAAUAAUAAUUGAGAAAGAGGCACAAUUAUUUGUCCAAAUACUUUUUGUUCUCUGUAAUGUGGUGACUAUGUACAAAAAGUGCUGUAAUUUCUGAGCGGUUUACCCAAUAUGGAUGAAAUUACCCUCAAAUUAAAUCUGAUAGUCUGCACUUUAACCUCAGUCAUUGUAUCAUUUCAAAUGCUGGAGUACAGAUCCAAAACAUGUCAAUGUCAAAAUACUGUAUAUAACCUUCUCUAUACAUGGUUCUGAUGGUAACUACUACAGUACAGAGCUAAAGGAGUGUACAGAAAUGUAAUGAAAUGAUGAAAUAAACAGCACCUUAUAAAAAAAAUA